rnacentral:ncRNA from 2 species
UUAUAGAUAGGCGGGAGCAAGCUGUUUGCUGAGAGGGGAAUCAUUCCCGACCGCAUGACCUGAUCCGGGUAAUGCCGGCGUAGGAACCGAAGACAUUAGUCAG